UACGUAGGGUGCAAGCGUUACUCGGAAUUACUGGGCGUAAAGCGUGCGCAGGCGGUUGUGCAAGACAGAUGUGAAAUCCCCGGGCUUAACCUGGGAAUUGCAUUUGUGACUGCACGGCUAGAGUGUGUCAGAGGGGGGUAGAAUUCCACGUGUAGCAGUGAAAUGCGUAGAUAUGUGGAGGAAAACCGAUGGCGAAGGCAGCCCCCUGGGAUAACACUGACGCUCAUGCACGAAAGCGUGGGGAGCAAACAGG
rnacentral:rRNA from 1 species